rnacentral:misc_RNA from 1 species
GAGCACAUUGGUCAACGCCAAAGUGUAAAAUGUAGAAAUUAACUGUUUAAAAAACUUGUUCUCCAUUUCUUUGUUGUGUUUAUUUGAUCACUAUUUUUGAUUUGAUUGCAGUAUCCAGGCACCAAAUAUUAUUUGUAUCAGAAAUUGGCUAAAAUCAAUGGACCUUAAUUUUCUCACCAACUAUUAUCUUUGAUGCUUUCUGAUGGUUUUGGGAUUAAAGUUAAUACAUGCACUAGUAAGGACUAAGACAUAUACUUUUAUUUUAAAUCCAAAAAAUGGAUAUUUAAUUUAUAGACAAUGUACAUAAUUUUGUAUAUAAACAGAGAAAAUUAAAGUAUUUGUUACCAUCAAUAUUAACCAUGUUGUCCAGAACAUGUACUUUUAUUGCUAUAGCUUCGUAAAUGGGUUUAAUUUAAAACUGUUACAUUGCUUGAAAUGUGUAUUACUUUAUUUUGUCAUUUGAUAAUUUCUAUUUUGAACUUCAUUGCUUGAUUUGUAUUUUCAUUUCCAACUGCAUUUGUACAUUUUCAUGACACAUCUUUAAAUAUUAAUUGUCCUCUGUAUAGUAAUUUGUUCAUGUUAAUGUUGUAAAUAUGCUAAUUUCGUAAAUUUUUCAUCAAAAAUAAGUUUUAAUUUAAUACAGGUACAAAAUACAUUUACUAGUAGGAAAAAAUACAUUUUAAGAUUAACCUUAUCAUUAAAUAUGAUAAGUCCUGAAUCUUUUACUGAACUGUUUUGGGUACCGUUUAAUGUUUUAAGAGAUUACCGUAAUAUAUGUAUUUCCCCUUGCUGACGCAAGAGCAUUCUAUAAAGAAAUUAUUUAAUGUUGGAUAUGUACAUGUACCAUGAACCAAAAGAAAUUUACUGUUAAAUUACUUCUGUGAUCUCAAGUAACUUUUGAAUUUAAACAAAUUUUUCUGAACAUCAUUUAGAUAUAGUCUUUUAGUACUCGGCAGACUAUUCUAUAUACUCUCUGGCUUAAAAUGAUACACACCAAACUACUUGUUGUAGCUUCUGUUCAUAAAUCUGUGAUAUAGAUUAUUUCAAAUAAACUUCAUUUUGUGUCUUCAUAC